rnacentral:rRNA from 1 species
AUUGAACGCUGGCGGCAGGCCUAACACAUGCAAGUCGAGCGGAGCGGCGGUCGGGUGAGUAAUACCUAGGAAUCUGCCUGGUAGUGGGGGAUAACGUUCGGCAACGGACGCUAAUACCUCAUCCUAUCCGCUGAGCCUUGGUCGGAUUAGCUAGUUGGUUCGUUAAUGGCCCACCAAGGCUACGAUCCGUACCUGGUCUGAGAGGAGGAUCAGUCACACUGGAACGAAGACACGGUCCGGACUCCUACGGAGGUCAGCGGGGGGGAAUAUUGGACAAUGGGCAAAAUCCGGAUCCAGCCAUGCCGCGGGGGUGAAGAAGGUCUUCGGAUUGUAAGGCACUUUAAUUUGGAAGACGGUACCGACAGAAUAAGCACCGGCUAACUCUGUGCCAGCAGACGCGGUAAUAC